AUUGAACGCUGGCGGCAGGCCUAACACAUGCAAGUCGAACGGUAACAGGAAGAAGCUUGCUUCUUUGCUGACGAGUGGCGGACGGGUGAGUAAUGUCUGGGAAACUGCCUGAUGGAGGGGGAUAACUACUGGAAACGGUAGCUAAUACCGCAUAACGUCGCAAGACCAAAGAGGGGGACCUUCGGGCCUCUUGCCAUCGGAUGUGCCCAGAUGGGAUUAGCUAGUAGGUGGGGUAACGGCUCACCUAGGCGACGAUCCCUAGCUGGUCUGAGAGGAUGACCAGGCACACUGGAACUGAGACACGGUCCAGACUCCUACGGGAGGCAGCAGUGGGGAAUAUUGCACAAUGGGCGCAAGCCUGAUGCAGCCAUGCCGCGUGUAUGAAGAAGGCCUUCGGGUUGUAAAGUACUUUCAGCGGGGAGGAAGGGAGUAAAGUUAAUACCUUGGCUCAUUGACGUUACCCGCAGAAGAAGCACCGGCUAACUCCGUG
rnacentral:rRNA from 1 species